AUUGAACGCUGGCGGAAUGCUUUACACAUGCAAGUCGAACGGCAGCACGGACUUCGGUCUGGUGGCGAGUGGCGAACGGGUGAGUAAUGUAUCGGAACGUGCCCAGUCGUGGGGGAUAACGUAGUGAAAAUUACGCUAAUACCGCAUACGAUCUAUGGAUGAAAGCGGGGGAUCGCAAGACCUCGCGCGAUUGGAGAGGCCGAUAUCAGAUUAGGUAGUUGGUGGGGUAAAGGCCCACCAAGCCAACGAUCUGUAGCUGAUCUGAGAGGACGACCAGUCACACUGGAAAUGAAGCACGCUCCAGAAUGCUACGGGAGGCAGCAGUGGGUAAUUUUGGACAAUGGGAGAAAGCCUGAUCCAGCCAUUCCGCGUGCAGGAGGAAGGACCUCGGGUUGUAAACUGCUUUUGUACAGAACGAAAAGGUUUCUACUAAUACUAGGGGCUCAUGACGGUACUGUAAGAAUAAGGACCGGCUAACUACGUGCCAGCCGCCGCCGUAA
rnacentral:rRNA from 1 species